UGGAUACUCAAAUCAAUUGGAAGAGACUAGAGGAAAUUUAAGUCUAGUUUGAAAGAUGCUUUUUUCAAACCCGCCAUCGAAAAAAAUCCAAACAUCAAGCGAAAGGCUUUGUAUAAGCUCUGUCCAGAAGAUGUGGAUAACGAUCAAUGGCGUGGGCUUGUUAAAUAUUGGAAGUCCAAAAAAGGAAGGGCCCUUGCUGAGAAGAACAUAAUUAGUCGUUCCCUCGUGAAGGAUUCACAUAAUGAUGGCACAAAGAGUUAUGCUUGUUGGGGUGAAGACAUGAGGCAAGCUGAUCCUGAAAAGAAACGACCACACAGAUCAAAGGUUUAUUUAGCAACUCACAAGAAGAAGGACGAUGCUGAUGCUAAAAAUAAAGAUAGAAAUAAG